UCGAGGAGCUCACAGUCUAGUAUGUCUCAUCCCCUACUAGACUGAAGCUCCUUGAGGAC
rnacentral:pre_miRNA from 1 species